UUUAGGGCAGAGGAGGGCUGCUGGAAGGCUAGUUUUCUUGGAGAAGAAACAGGCACCUUGGUGUCUUUUUUACGCAGUUUCCUCCUCCACAUGAGAAGAGUACAUGUUUAGGAGGACAAUUCAGGAUUCUGAGGGCCGGUCAUGACGAGACCUCAAUUGCAGGACCGUAUAAUAAUGCACGGAGGAGAACGCCUUGGAACCGAGCAGAGUGAGCUGGUGCAGAGAGCGACGCAACGGCGUGCCGAAAUGAGGCUGCAACAGGUUUCCACGAGAGCUACGAGUGUCUUCGGCAACUUAGACACCCAGAUGAAGUGCCGAUGUACAUAUGGUCCAAUAAUCUAAUCCAUAUGGUUGAAGUUAUUCCUCAUGUAA